UCCCAUUAGUUCUCUAGAAUACUUUCGACAUUUCCCGUUUACCUUAAUUGACAUUGGAAGCCUCUAUAGAUCUGUAAAACAAUAGAGCUAAAGGAUUCUAACUAUAUGAAUGUUCCAUAUAACUACAUGUCUCUUAUGUUAUUACCAUACGGUCGUCUUUGCUUAUUGUCUUUCAUCUCUUAAUAGAGCUUUUGCACCUACACAAUUAAUUUCAACAGUUUUCCUCUACUGCCUUAUAAGUUGUGCACAAUGCUGCCUCAACUGCGCACCAUCCAGUUAUGCUAUUUUCAUACAGUUUAACCAGGUUUAUAUGACUAAUAUAACCACAAAGCUCUUACCUGAAAAAGCAAAAGAAUAAAGUAUGAUUACACGUUUGAUCUUACCUCUUUUUUUUUAAGGAUCUUGGGCAUAAAUGACCUCCAGAACUUCAUAGCUUUCAUUUCACUUUUUAAAAUUACUUUUUUAUACAUGCUUAGAUUCUAGGAACUCUAUGCAUAUUUGGAAUAAUGUCAUGUAUUUCCUGUUAUUGCAUUAUGGCCGUCUUUGUUUAUUGUAGUUCAUCACUUGUCCAUUAAUUAGGACUGAUACAAUUAAUACCACGAGCUCGCCUUUGUUUUCUUAGAAGGUGUGCAUCAUGCCGUCCAAAAUCCCUACACACCAUCCAGUUAAAAGGAAACCACUGAUAUACUUGAGCCGCCCCUAUUUAUUAUCUGUCAACUUAAGGACAGCACACUCAUCAUUGUUGAUUUUCACACAAGUAUACACAUAGCUGACAAGUUCUGAUCUGGGCACAUGUAAACUGCAGGUGAUAAAAAAAAUUCAUCACAAGGCCAAGGAUAAUGUUACCAUUCUCAAAAGAAAAAAACCAAGGAUAUUUGAGGAGUGCACAUAUUCAAAGGAUAAAUAAGUGAUUUUGUUCUUGGAUAUGAAAUCAUUGAGGAAUACAAGGUUAAUUCACCUUGUUCUAUUUUAUAACCUGUCUGGAUUUACUCCUUUCUAUAGAAAAAUUAGUUCAUUUUCUCAUCAAGGAAAAAACAGAUAGAGAAAGAGAGCGAUGUACCUCUUGCCUUUCCUUUCUUUGAUUUGCCUUCUAUUUUAUUAUGUCACUGUGAUUCUCCAUGAGUCGACAACAAUUGUGCCAUGUCAAAAUUCAUAGCCAAUUAUGAACCAAAUCAAUUGUGUGAGGAUGACCGAGAAGCAUUACUGAUAUUUUGGCCUUGUGUACUUUGAUAUUUAACUGUAUGACUGUAACGUUA